UCCCUGGUGGCUCAGGUGGUACAGAAUCUGCUUGCAAUGCAGGAGACCCAGGUUCAGUUCCUGGGUUGGGAA
rfam:TPA: Bos taurus chromosome 21, whole genome shotgun sequence.